UACGUAGGGCGCAAGCGUUGUCCGGAAUUAUUGGGCGUAAAGAGCUCGUAGGCGGUUUGUCGCGUCGGCUGUGAAAUCCUGGGGCUUAACUCCGGGCCUGCAGUCGAUACGGGCAGACUUGAGUGUGGUAGGGGAGACUGGAAUUCCUGGUGUAGCGGUGAAAUGCGCAGAUAUCAGGAGGAACACCGGUGGCGAAGGCGGGUCUCUGGAACGCAACUGACGCUGAGACGCGAAAGCGUGGGGAGCGAACAGG
rnacentral:rRNA from 1 species